UCUGUGCUCCCAUUAAUUUUAGGUAUGAAGUCAUCAACUUGUAUGCCUAAGCUGUUGUGUUCUUUAAGAGUUUUCUCUUGAAGAUGUUCUAACCGUACUUGUAAAGCAGUUAGCCGCUCAUUGGUGAAGUCAUUAUCAGCCUGCAAAGCUUCUAUUUUUGCUUGAAGCUCUUGUUCUCUUUCUUCCAUUUCAUCGAUCUUAUGCUGCAGUUCCUUCUUCUCUGCCAGUCCUUUCUGUUGGAUCUCUUCUUGUUUUCCUUCUGCCACCUUUAGCUUGUCAGAGAGAUCUUUAAUUUCAUUUACAGCUCCAUUGUACUUAUUAGCUAAUUCUCUUAAUUCUUCCUGAGUCCGCUCAUUCAUUUCUUUCAGGUGAGUACAUUCAUCUUCUGUAUUACUUAAACUCCGCUCCACUUCAGACAGCUUUC
rnacentral:lncRNA from 1 species